UGUUAGAAACAAUAACGAUCAAAAAGCCAUCAACUUUAAAGAAAUACCUCACAACCUGUGGAAAGAUAACAGUAUGGUGUUAUUUAGAACAAAGAGCAGUGUGGCAGUGUCUCCCCAGUCCUACGGCCAUCAGAAGGGCCUGAAUUAUCCAAGGUGGUUGUCCACGGGCUCUCCGGAUCAGGCUGGCUGCCUUCAACGAAUGGCAGCAGUUACUCUGCAGCAAUGACAGAGCCCAAGUCAGUGUGCGUCUCUGUGGACGAGGUGGUCUCCAGCAACAGGGAGGUCAUGGAGAUGGAGCUGCUGAACGGACAUCUGAAGAAAGAGGACAACAGUCUCACAGAGGCCCAGCGCCUCUCCUCCCUGCCGCGGAGGGCGGCUGUGAACAUCGAAUUCAAGGACCUUUCCUACUCGGUCCCGGAAGGCCCCUGGUGGAGGAAGAAAGGGAUACCGGUCACUGCAGAGUAAGGUCGGCAUGUCCACAGCCCUCCGCAGCCGCUCCAGGGACCAGACAGGGAACACGGGCAGCUGAUGUUGUCCCUGACUCGCCAAUCAGUCGGCACGUCCGAAAGGCCUCGAAAGUCUGUCCUCUCACGCACUGGGUACCCACAGCCUAAUGGAUGGCAUCGUCUUACUUUGUGAUCGCCAUUCUCUUUCUGGCAAAGAACUGGAGCCUCUUCCUCGUCUCCCAGAUGGCAGAUUCUGAAUUGCAGCGAUAGUAAUUCAUGAAUAUUAUUUUAUUUUAUUUAUUUAUUUAUUUAUUUUUGCGGCACGCGGGCCUCUCACCGCCGUGGCCCCUCCCGUUGCGGAGCGCAGGCUCCGGACGCGCAGGCGCGGCGGCCACGGCUCACGGGCCCAGCCGCUCCGCGGCACGUGGGAUCCUCCCGGACCGGGGCGCGAACCCGCGUCCCCUGCAUCGGCAGGCGGACUCCCAACCACUGCGCCACCGGGGAAGCCCUCAUUCAUGAAUUUUAAAAAUUCUGCUUGGAGCACGGAGGUGUCCUAGUGGUUUGACCAUGAGCUUCGCGCCUCUGUGCUAAAGCGAGGGCCUGUUUCCAGGAAGUCCGUCCCCACGGCACAAAAAUAACCGAGUCUACGAAAAGCUUGGAAAACACCCGCUGAGAGCUGACUGUGACCUUCACCCCUGGGAAAGCACCUUCCCUUUUGGGGGGGUGACCUUAGGCAGAGAAAACCCCAAACUUGCUGGAGGAACUUCAGGUUCAGAGAGAGUCAUUCCGGGAGGGGGAGGAGAAACCAGAAAUGUGGGCGCCAUCGUUUCCCGGCUCACUUGUGGAGGGUGACCUCCAAGGAAGGCUGCCCCGUGCCUGGCAGGUCCUGAAUCCCCCAGUCACCGGCCCAGCUCUGCCCUGCAGGUGCCUCCUGAAAUUCAGCCCCGUCCUAGGAGCUGGCUUUCUGGAGUGUGUCCUCUGGGGCUGCCCCUGGGCCUCCUCCAGUGAAUUCCACACGCCCUGUGCUUUGUACUGGAGGGUGUAGGAUGAAGCCGACUUCAGUAUCAGAAGACUUUUUUUUUUUUUCUGGCCGCAUUGGGUCUUCGUUGCCGCGCGCGGGCUUCCUCUAGCUGCAGCGAGCGGGGGCUACUCUUCGUUGCGGUGCGCGGGCUUCUCAUUGCGGUGGCCUCUCUUGUUGCAGAGCACAGGCUCUAGGCGUGCGGGCUUCAGUAGUUGUGGCACAUGGGCUCAGUAGUUGUGGCUCGAGGGCUCUAGAGCGCAGGCCUAGUAGUUGUGGCGAACGGGCUUCGUUGCUCCGCGGCAUGUGGGAUCUUCCCGGACCGGGGCGCGAACCCGCGUCCCCUGCAUCGGCAGGCGGACUCCCAACCACUGCGCCACCAGGGACGCCCCAGGAUCAAAAGACUUUUGAAAGUCCAUAGAUGGAAGAGCCAAAGAAAACGGGGUUUAUGUAAAAGCUUGAGCCUUUCCGUUGGUUUGUGUAUAAGCCUGAUUCAUAAGGGAGAUGUUGGUCUGGGGUUUUUGUAGUCAUAAAAAUUAUAAAGACACCGGAAAUUGCAUUUUUCUCCAGUUGACUUUAGGCAUUCGGGCCAGAUAAAGGGAUUAGCCAAUGAGGGAAGCAGGACAUCUUCAUCCUGAUUUGCUUCACGACAGUGACAUUGCCUGGACGAGGCGCUCUCGUGGACACUGGGGUCCUCUCACUUGUAAGCUGGGCCACACAUCCUGCAGUCCGGCCCAGAUGAGAUGGGCAGCCGGCGGACAGGACAGAUGGCAAAGCAGAAGCAAAGACAAGCCGAGUGCCCUCGUGGGAGGGAGGCAUGGAGAGAUCCGGGGAGAGGGAGUGGGCUGGCCAGGCGGGCGGAUGUCCCGUCAGGGCAGGGGCGAGAGUGGCUCGGGAGGGGAGGCCCGUCGGGUGGGAACUAAGCCCACUGGCCAAACUCUGGGGGAGGCCAGGCGAUCCAGCAUUUCCCGUCUGUUUCUGAGCACCCCGUUUCUCCAAGGCACCCCCACAUCUGAGUGUCUUGUUGGAGCUCUGACGGCUGGCAGGCGGGGCUCAAGGCGGGGAAAGUGCUGGUGGGGCAGCAAGAGACGCCUUGCCUGCGUCCCUUCCACAGAAUGUCCCGGAAUGAGAUCAGGGACAGCAGCCCCGGGCAGGAGCAUCCCAGAGAGCCCAGGACAGUGGGACACCUGUCACCGGAGGAGGUAGCAGCUCUGGGAGGGGGACAGGAGCCGAUGGCCGGGGGCAGGAGGUCGCUGUCCCACCAAGUAGCUCCCACCUCCGGGCAGCUCACUGGCUCAGCUGUCAGCUUCCAGACUUGGGAGGUGGCAGGAACUGAAUUUGCCAUCCAAGCACUUCAGAGGAAUUAAUAUGGGGAUUUUUAGAGGCUGUUGCUCGAGGGGAAACAUAGUCAUCAAUGGCUAUAAGAUAGCUUUUAAAAGGAAUUAUUACUAUCGAGACACUUUUCACCUAAGAUAUUGGCAAAAACAAUAAAGCUGGUCUAAUAAUUUGCCUGAGAAUGAAUAUUUUCAUAAAUGAAGCUCAGUCCAGUGCAAAGAGAGUAAACAGAGCUGCUUUGGCUAAGAGAGAAGGCAUCAGGCCCAGCUUUUCCCCACUGACGUAAAGGGAUGAAAUACAACUCCGUGAGCUUUUUCGUUUCUUUUUCAUGAAUUUGCCUUGCAGAAAGGAAGGAAUGUAACUUCAAGAUACAAGAGCCUGUGCAUAUAUCUGUGCUUGUAUUUAUAAAUACAUUCAUGUGUGAUUAUAUCUAUUUAUGAGUAUGUUUUUAAGUUAGGAAAAGCUGUUAAAGAUUCCUGCAGUUCAGUCUUCUCAUUUUAUAGAUUAGAAAACCACGUCGCAGGUUGAGAGAUUUUUGGUUUAAGAUAAACCAGCUUUUGAGAUCAAGUCCUAUUACUGCCACAUCGAAAUCUGUGUCUUAUAUACAUGUAUUUAUUUUGUUCUGAGUGAGAAAGUGAAAUAUUGAUGAUUCUCCUGUCAAUACUAAAGCCUCAUGUGACCAGCCACAAAGCGGUAGCCUUGAUUUUACAAUGACACUGGGGAAACCUUGUACUUCAAAUUAGUCAUGAACGUCUAAGGUAAGAAUCUGAGGGAUUAUAAACUCUGAAGAAGCAAUUUCUAGCUGAGCCUUUUCCUGCUUCUUGUCGAGUUUGCUUCUUUCUCAAUCUGAGUAAUUUUCAAGGUAGAAAAUAUUUGAAUUUUUUUUCCAUUUCAUUCUGCGGGAUUAAGCAUCUGUUUGUCAUUCAACAUGUUUUUAUUUUAAUUAUCUGUUAUAAGCAAAGUACUUUUGCUAAGUGUUGGGGAGGAAAAAGUGGAUGAACCAUGGCCCCCAAUGAGCUUCUCUUUGGCACGGAGAAGGUCUCUGGGCAACGGGAGGGGAGACUUGGAUGACCUGGGAAGACAGGACACAGAUGCAGUUGGUGAGAGGAAGAGGGGGCUGGGGACAGAAUGGCCAGGGAGAACAGAGGCAGCCUCUUUAUUUUAUUUUAUUUUAUUUAUUUAUUUUUUUGCGGUACGCGGGCCUCUCACUGCCGCGGCCCCUCCCGUUGCGGAGCACAGGCUCCGGACGCGCAGGAUCAGGGGCCAUGGCUCACGGGCCCGGCCGCGCCGCGGCACGCGGGACCCUCCCGGACCGGGGCGCGAACCCGCGUCCCCUGCAUCGGCAGGCGGGCUCCCAAGCACUGCGCCACCGGGGAAGCCCAGGCAGCCUCUUUAGAACAGAAGGCCUGUGGGAGCCGCAAGGAAGGACCCUGCUGAGGGCUUGGCUGUGGAGUUGAGAUUUGGUGCUGGGAGAGGUCAGUGGUACUUGGUGAUGGGAAAUGGGCUUUCCGGGGGCUGCCUGAUCAGAGUGCAGGGUGCCUGGGAGGAGAGAGGCUGGAGGCCCAUAAAGGGUGUUUCACCACAAUUCGGGUGAAGGUCUUGGACUCGAGUGUGAUGUUGACGGAAAAGAAAUGCACAACCUAAAGGCUGAGAGUUGAUUAUUUGGUGAACUUGCUGAGGACUCGUGCCUGCCUGGGAGGCAGCCUCCCAGAUGGCUCCAAAGAGGUCAGGGGGGAGCCAGGAUAUAGAGGAGUUUUUGCAACAGGUAGUAGGACCGUCAAAAGAUUACUGAUAAUUAAAGAAAACCAGAUAUCUCAAGUUAAUGUAUUUAGCGCUUUUCUAUGUAUGGGAAGAUGCUAGAGUCUGGGCUCACGGAAAUCAUUCCUUGCAUAGGCACCAUAGCUCUCUGGGACCAGCAUCCUGUUCUUUCCCAUCCUGAGUCCCCUCAGGACGCAAGGUUGGGGUCGCCUGCAGUGGAUGCUGGCUUCAUGGCCACAGCAUCCUUUGUUUACUCAUGUGGCAGGUGACAUUCUUCAUCCACAGUGACAACGGGGUGGUGGGUUGAAUGGUGACCCUGAAAAACGAUGAGUCUAUGUUCUAACCCUGGACCCUGUAAAUGGGACCUUACUGGGAAUAAUGGUGCUGGCAGAUUUAUUAAGUUAAGGAUCUGGAGGUGAGAUCAUCCUGGAUUAGGGUGGACUUGAAAUCCAAGGACAGGGUCUUAGGAGAGAAAGGGACACUCUGAGCUAAAAGACACAGGGACACAGGGCAGAAGGCAGGUGAAGACAGAGGCAGAAAUUGAAGAUGCGGCCACCAGCCAGGGGGGCAUGGAGCCACCGGAGCUAGAAGAGGCAGGAAGGACCCUCCCCUCGAGCCUUUGGAGGGAGCGCGGCCCCGCUCACAGCUUGAUUUCAGACUUCUGGCCUCCAGACUGUGAGAGAAUACAUUUCUGUUCUUUUAAGCAGCAAACUUUGGAGUAACUUAUUGAGGCAGCUCCAGGAAACGACUACAAAAGAAAAGAAGGGAUCAACAUUUUGACAAAGAACCUUACUGCGGAGCGUUGGGGAGGAUGUAGAGGGAGCAUGCUCUUCCAGACCGACCCCUCUCUUCCGGGGGCUUGGAGGGGGGCAGCCCCGGAAAACAUAUCUGGCUUUACGAAGUCAAGUCAAAGACGCAUACGCUUGGUGACCCAGCACUUUCCCUCCUAGGUGUGUGCAAUGCAGUCGUGUGUUUUUCGUAAUAGCAGAAAGACUGGAGACAACCCAAAUGCUCAUCGAAGGAAGAGUGGGUAACAAACGGUUGUUAACUCCACGGUGGAACAUUGUAGAAGCGUGAAAGAAAAUGAGCACAGUCAUAGCAUCAACAAGAAUGAAUCUUACAGACAAAAUAAAGUGGAGAGGAGAAAAAAGCAACUCUUGGAAGACACACGUUAUGACACCAUUUCUAUAAGUCCCCAAAACAUGCAAAACUUUAGUGCUUUUCUAGAGCACUUUUCUAGAUACGAGGAGAUGCCAGAAUUGGGCUCCUUCUUUCCCUUGCUGGCAAAAUUGUUUAAGGAUAAAUACAGGUGUGAUACAAUAGAGACAAAAAUAAGGGAAUAAUACAAUUCAAGACGACGGUGACAUUUGAGUGAGGCAGGGGACUGAGAUCAGGAGGGGCACAGCGUGUGUCUUCCUUUAUUUUUCUUCUUUAAACCUCACAAACAUGCAGUCUGCGUCAGAGAAUCAGUACAGUGUCAGGUAUGGGCUUAGAGCCCGACUGCUUGGUGUUAAGUUCUGGCCCUCCAUCUGUUAGCCAUGGUACCUUAAGAAAGUUAUUUUAGCUCUCUGUGCCUCAGUUUUCUCACCUGUAAAAUGGGGAUAUUAAAGUCUGUGCCACAUAGGGCUGUGGUGAGAAUCAAAGUUAAUGCCCGUGAGAGCUCAGAAUAGUGCAGGGCAUAGUGAGUCUGGAUACCCAUCGGCUGUUGUAGCUGUCAUCACAUCGUCACCAUCUUGUAAACGUAAAGUACACUGACAUUAAAAAAAGGAAGGGACGGGACCGUGCAGAAAUGAGGUGAGUGCACGCGGGGGCGGUGGGGGUCCUAACUGGCAGCCUGGGUGACCGGGAACCACAGGAGGCAGUGACACAAAGUGAAGACAGAGGGGUGAGGCCUGGCAGGAGCUGAUGCUUCCAUCUGGGUGGUCGGCGUCCUCCUGGGGCGAGCCCCGCCACUCUGCUGGCCGGUGCGGUAGGGGCCCUGGUGAAGGCGUGUUCCCAGGGGAAAGCCGGGGCUGGAGCUGAGCUGGGACUUGGCGGGGUUUGGCCCUUCUGGUCACGUUUUGAAAGCAUUUAAAUGGACAGAAGGGCUUCCCUGGUGGCGCAGUGUUUGCGCGUCCGCCUGCCGAUGCAGGGGAACUGGGUUCGCGCCCCGGUCCGGGAGGAUCCCACGUGCCGCGGAGCGGCUGGGCCCGUGAGCCUGGCCGCUGAGCCUGCGCGUCCGGAGCCUGUGCUCCGCAACGGGAGGGGCCGCAGCAGAGGGAGGCCCGCGUACCACACACACACACACAAAAAAAAAAAAAAAAAAAAAAAGGACAGAAGGCAGCUUGAGACCCAGUUCACCCUCCCCGCGCUGCUGGGCGCUGCAUCGUCCUCUGGUCUCCUCGGGGUUCCUGUGGCUGUCCUGCACCGGGAGGGUGGCUCUGGGCUCCCCAGGGACAGGCAGCUGCAUGCAGUGGCGCUCAGACGUUGAGAAGCCACGCUGAAGCUCGCUCCUUGGGAGUGGCGCCUGAGGUUGGGCACGGGGGCGUCCGUGAGAAUGAGUGAAGGCCAUCAGGAGAAACGCCUCCUCCUGGCCUGCUCGUGGGUCCCCUCGUGGCUGCUCUUGGUCCUCUGGGGUCCCUCAUGGUGUCAGCAGAAGGUACGCCUGUCUGCAUCAGGGUCUCUCACACGGUACCGUGAACCGAGGCCGGUUCUGUGCCUCGUGUUCACCGAACUGAGGAUAACACAAGCUUUUUUGUCUCUCUUGCGAUUGUACCUUUCCUCCCGUCAUGGCUAAUUGCUGGCUUGGGGGUUUGUUCAGGAGUCAGACCAAGGAACAGACAGCGGUGUGUGGAAGGCCUGCUCCGGGUACCUGGGAGGAUCGGGCUUCCAGGGGGAGACCCGCCAGACACCUGGGAAGGGGAUCACGGCAGAGCUCAUAAGUACACUGCUGCCAACAGUAGAUGUGACCGCAACACAACGUCCAUAAUGGUAACUGGCGUGAUGAGCACCCGCUCGGUGCCAGGCCCUGUCCCCGCCCGACACGCGCUGCCGUAUUUACCCACCUACAGUCCGGAUGGGGCUAUAUCGCCCUUCCCUGGAAGGUGAGGAGCCUGGGGCCCAGGGGACUCUGUCGUUGGCCCAGGAGGGAGGCGGGCAUAUGGGAUCAGCUGGUUUGCCUCCAGGCCUCCCAUUUUGACUCUCAAGGUGGUGAAAUGAUGAAUUGGCAAAUUGAACAAAUGGAUGAAAAUGGCCCAGUUGCUUGGAGGAAGAAGCCGUUGCUUUAGGUUUGUGGCGGGCAGUCUUUGAGACCCA